rnacentral:rRNA from 1 species
AGCGAACGCUGGCGGCAGGCCUAACACAUGCAAGUCGAACGAACCUUUCGGGGUUAGUGGCGGACGGGUGAGUAACACGUGGGAACGUGCCUUUAGGUUCGGAAUAACUCAGGGAAACUUGUGCUAAUACCGAAUGUGCCCUUCGGGGGAAAGAUUUAUCGCCUUUAGAGCGGCCCGCGUCUGAUUAGCUAGUUGGUUGAGGUAAUGGCUCACCAAGGCGACGAUCAGUAGCUGGUCUGAGAGGAUGCUCAGCCACAUUGGGACUGAGACACGUCCCAAACUCUUACGAGAGGCAGCAGUGGGGAAUCUUGGGCAACGUGUGAAAGCCUUACACUGCAGGGCAGCGUGGAUGGUGAAGGUCAUAGGAUUGUAAAAUUAUUGCUACGGUGAAGAUAAUGAGGUGACCCGGUGAAGAAGCCACGGCUAAAUACGUG